GUUUUCACUUUGGCAGCACAUAUACUAGAACUGGAACAAUACAGAGAAGAUUAUCACGGACCCUGUCAAGGGUAACUUGCAUAUUCAUAAAGUGUUCCAUAUCUAA